rnacentral:misc_RNA from 1 species
GAUGAAGAACGCAGCGAAAUGCGAUAAGUAAUGUGAAUUGCAGAAUUCCGUGAAUCAUCGAGUCUUUGAACGCACAUUGCGCCCCCUGGUAUUCCGGGGGGCAUGCCUGUCCGAGCGUCAUUACUGCCCUCAAGCCCGGCUUGUGUGUUGGGCCCCGUCCUCCGAUCCCGGGGGACGGGCCCGAAAGGCAGCGGCGGCACCGCGUCCGGUCCUCGAGCGUAUGGGGCUUUGUCACCCGCUCUGUAGGCCCGGCCGGCGCUUGCCGAUCAACCCCAAUUUUUAUAGGUUGACCUCGGAUCAGGUAGGGAUACCCGCUGAACUUAAGCAUAUCAAUAAGCGGAGGA